AUGGAGGAGAAGGGUGCGCUGUCGCCGGCGUCCAGUUCCUCCACCACUUGCAGCAGCCUCGGCUCCGGCCCCAGCUCCCCCCUCACGACGUCGUCUUCUGACGACUCGAGCGGCGGCGGCGGCGGCGUCGUUGCUGCCGCGGGCAGCAGGAAGCGGCCGCGGCGGGACCUGAAGCACCCGACAUACCGCGGCGUGCGCAUGCGGGCCUGGGGGAAGUGGGUGUCGGAGAUCCGCGAGCCCCGCAAGAAGUCGCGCAUCUGGCUCGGCACCUUCGACACCGCCGAGAUGGCCGCGCGCGCCCACGACGUCGCCGCGCUCUCCAUCAAGGGCCGCGCCGCCGCGCACCUCAACUUCCCGGAGACCGCGCACCAGCUGCCCCUCCCCGCCACCGCCGCGCCCGAGGACGUGCGAGCCGCGGCCGCGCUCGCCGCGCAAAUGGACCGCGCACCAGACGCGGACGCCGUCGAGGACACAUACACCAAGGUCGAGGAGCCAGCGCCGGCACCUGCAGCGGCAGCGCAUGCGGUGCCGGACGACCACAUUCUUGACCUCGCGCUCUUCGACCUGCCGGAGUUCCUGCACGAGUUCGGCUUCGCGUUGCCUCCCUCCACGUAUGAUGCGUACUCAUGGCACGACGUCGGGGCCGAGGACUUCCGGUUCGAGCCGGCGCCGUUGCUGCUCUGGGAGCACUAA
rnacentral:rRNA from 1 species